rnacentral:rRNA from 1 species
GCGAGUCAUUGUAGCAAUACAAGGCAUACGGCUCAGUAACGCGUAGUCAACCUAACCUAUGGACGGGAAUAACCUCGGGAAACUGAGAAUAAUGCCCGAUAGAACAUUAUACCUGGAAUGGUUUAUGUUCCAAAUGAUUUAUCGCCGUAGGAUGGGACUGCGGCCUAUCAGUUUGUUGGUGAGGUAAUGGCCCACCAAGACUAUUACAGGUACGGGCUCUGAGAGGAGUAGCCCGGAGAUGGGUACUGAGACACGGACCCAGGCCCUAUGGGGCGCAGCAGGCGAGAAAACUUUGCAAUGUGCGAAAGCACGACAAGGUUAAUCCGAGUGAUUUCUGCUAAAGAAAUCUUUUGUUAGUCCUAGAAACACUAACGAAUAAGGGGUGGGCAAGUUCUGGUGUCAGCCGCCGCGGUAAAACCAGCACCUCAAGUGGUCAGGAUGAUUAUUGGGCCUAAAGCAUCCGUAGCCGGCUCUGUAAGUUUUCGGUUAAAUCUGUACGCUUAACGUACAGGCCGCCGGGAAUACUGCAAAGCUAGGGAGUGGGAGAAGUAGACGGUACUCGGUAGGAAGUGGUAAAAUGCUUUGAUCUAUCGAUGACCACCUGUGGCGAAGGCGGUCUACUAGAACACGUCCGACGGUGAGGGAUGAAAGCUGGGGGAGCAAACCGGAUUAGAUACCCGGGUAGUCCCAGCUGUAAACUAUGCAAACUCAGUGAUGCAUUGGCUUGUGGCCAAUGCAGUGCUGCAGGGAAGCCGUUAAGUUUGCCGCCUGGGAAGUACGUACGCAAGUAUGAAACUUAAAGGAAUUGGCGGGGGAGCACCACAAGGGGUAAAGCCUGCGGUUCAAUUGGAUUCAACGCCGGA